GCCGCGCGCGCGCGCUCACACAGCCAGCCCCACCAGGGCGCCUCAGCGGGCGGGAGCUCGCCACGCCCACAGCCCCGCGCGGUCCCUGCGGGCAGCCGGCGCCGAGGCCGACUCCCCCGCCCCCGGCUUCGGACCCCACAGGCCUGAGGCGAGGAGAGCUGCCGCCAGCCAGGGCGCCCUCAGGAGCUCGGUGGCGGUUGAGCUUUUCUAGGCACCCUGAGAGAUGGAGAGACCUUUGACCUAUUUCACUGACCUUCAAGUAUCCAGAGUAGCUCGACAGAACAUGAAGCUAGAAUGCUUAGGCUCUAUCUGCACAAUUACUGCACCAAAAAUGGACAUCAUCAGGCAUGUGACACUCAACGUGUGAGCAACUGUCGAGACAAGGAGUAACUAAAUCCAUCCAUUUGCCUGUGAAAUUCAUGAUGUCCUUGUUUUUAAUGAAGCCUGGAAAUUUUAAUAGUGGAAGCACUUUGGCUCUGCUGCCCAUUCAUUCUCCUGCUAAGGAAAUACCAGAGGCCACAGCUUAUUACCUUCUGGCCAGAAGCUAUGAAUUGAUGACAGAGUUCAACAUCUUCAGGACAGCAUGAGAGAACUAUCUCGGUGGUUACCUUGAAGAGUUCCUCCAUGACCUAAGAGGAAUGAGACACAAUCGCCUGAGCAGCAGUUUUACACAAAGACCUCAAAGGCUUCAGGGCUUGAAGGACUUUCCUCUAGCUUCCAGCAACUAAAACUCUGCUAAGCUUGUUAAUCCCUGAAUGUAUUACAGUGACUCAGAUCAAUAUUGGUAUUGAAAAGAGUUGUCAAAUGAACAGCCA